rnacentral:lncRNA from 1 species
UCAUCAACACAUGCGCUACUGAUGGCAAUUGGGAUGUACCGACCCGCCUUUCCCGUCCCGCCAUCUCUAUCCUGAGCAUAGCACCUGCAAGAAAAAGAGACCAAUAGAGAUGAGAACACAACAUGUCCUAUGAAUCAGUUGAACACAAUGAUGCUCAGCCAAAGGAUUGAGAAUCAUAUCGAAAGCGCACAUAGAAACUCAAUGUAACAUAGAAACAUAGAAAGAAAGAGAUCUAUGUAAGAACACAAGUAUAUACUAGUAACCUAGUUAUUGUGUGAUUAUCAUAGAAACUCAAUGUAACAUGUUAAUAUAGAUCAGAA